UGAUAUGUUUAGAUUUGAUUCGUUUUUGUUUCAGGUUUUUGGGUGCUUCUGUUUCUAAUCUUUACAAAACCAUUGAGAUUAAAUAAUUAUAGGAUUGAAAUCAUUGGGUAUUUUCGUUUCUAAUACUAAUUUUCCUUUUUCAAUCUUAUUUUAGGUCUUUCUGCCGGAACAUCAUACACCCAGAUAGAGUCCGUUAGGCACAAAGAGACAGGCCGCCGUAUACCUGUAACCGCAGGCAUUCUAUACUGUUGGUAUUGGAGUUUGGAUAAGGAAUGCAACUGAUGUCUGUUUUUCUUAAUGGCACUCUGUUUUUGUUAGAGAGGUUUUGAGGGUCCCAUGGUCUAGAUUUUUGAUGAUUAUGUGGAAAUACGAUAUUGUUUUCUCUACAAGAUUCUAGAAAUUAUUAUGUAGCUUUCUAUUUCUGUUGUUGCAUUUGAUGUGAUUAAUCAGUGCUUACCUUUGGAAUCCUAAUGUGUUUUUGCAUUGUUAUCCUUCGGCUCUAUAUUUUGUACAUAUAUAUAUAUAUAUAUAGUAAAUUCAUUAUUUAGUUUUUUUUUUUGGUUGGUUGUAAUUUCAACACUCUUUUUGCUAUAACAUACAGCUAUUUAGACAA